rnacentral:misc_RNA from 1 species
GAAAUGUGAUAAGUAGUGUGAAUUGCAGAAUUCAGUGAAUCAUCGAAUCUUUGAACGCACAUUGCGCCCCUUGGUAUUCCAUGGGGCAUGCCUGUUCGAGCGUCAUUUGUACCCUCAAGCUCUGCUUGGUGUUGGGUGUUUGUCCCGUCUCCGCGCGUGGACUCGCCCCAAAGUGAUUGGCAGCCGGCGUACUGGUCCCGGAGCGCAGCACAUGUCGCGCAAACGAGUGCCUUGGUACGACGGCGUCCAUAAGCCCCUCUCUCACGCUCUUGACCUCGGAGCAGGUAGGGAUUCCCGCUGAACUUAAGC